AUGAGCCCGGGCCGCAGAGGAAAGGCGCCUCAUGGCGCCGGGGCGAGCACUAAGCUAAGGCAGAGCACAGCUGAGUGCUCUGGCAGGGGGGGAAAUGCCGAAUUUCACUCCGUGUUUCAGCACAGAAAUGAAUGUGUAGCUGUUCUUCACCCCGGCYGCAUCAGCUAUGGCAGUGGAUUAACCGGAAGGCAAAAUCCCCCCUGGCUGCGCCGUCGCCUCCCCACUCGCAGGCCAGACCAUGCCACGGCCGCUGCUGGACGACACUGCUGGAGAGCUGCUGGUCAGGGACAUGGAGCCCGCGGCAGGUCCGAGCGGAGAGUGCUAUGGAGCGCUGGAGCACUGGACGAGGCUGCAGCCACCACCAGAGCGCCACAACGCCUCCAGAUGCAGCUUGGAGGAGGAGGUGAGCAUGCGGCGGGGACCACAGGGCUCCCUGUGAUGUGUCCGGGAUUGCCAGGAAGCGCCCAAGAUCCUUGCGAAGCAUCCGGGAUCCCCAUGAGGCACUCAGGAUCCUUGCAAUGUGUCUGGGAUCACCAGGAAGCACCCAGGAUUCCCGUGAUGUGCCUGGGAUCACUGAGAAGCGCCCAAGAUCCUCAUGGCAUGCCCAGGAUUCCCACGAGGCACCCGGGAUCCUCGCGACGUGCCCAUGAUCCCUGCAAGGUGUUCAGGAUCCUUGUGACGCAUCUGGGAUCCCUGUGA
rnacentral:lncRNA from 1 species